rnacentral:sRNA from 1 species
CGCGGCUAUAAGGGGCGGAGGCUGGGUGGCCUUGCUCAGCGCUCUGCGGCUGAUGGCGCUUUUGUCUCCGGUGAGUUUUGUGGCGGGAAGCUUCUGCGCUGGUGCUUAGUAACCGACUUUCCUCCCGACUCCUGGACGACCUGCUCUUACAGCCGGCGAUCCACUCCCGGCUCUUCCCCCGGAG